rfam:'Echinacea purpurea' witches'-broom phytoplasma strain NCHT2014 contig_11, whole genome shotgun sequence.
GAAAGCGGUGUGCUGGGAAACUUGCUCGCACCGUUUGGACGGGGGCUGUUUGUAAUAUUUGAUAACUCUCAAAGAAACGCAAAUAAUCUAUCCGUAU